AUGGACCUCUGUCCAAACAGUUACUGGCAAUAUUUCUCCUGGUGCCACACUUUCCUUCCCUAUGGGAAGAAAUACUAUACUGUUGGCCUGGCGGCCGUUUGCUGGGCUAUCUGGUUGGCUAGAAAUCGAGCCACCUUUGAGAAGAAACAUAUUAAGACACCGUUUGAGAUUGUGUUUUCCGUGUGCUCCUUUUUGCUAUAUUGGGCAGGUCUUCAACAAGGUGAUGGAGUCAAAGAGUUGCGCAGUGGGGCGGCGAUGGUCAGGUCAAGCACUAUGAGCAUGAUGAAGAUGUGUGAGGCGGCGAGGAGACCGAUCGAGGGAGAAUGA
rnacentral:rRNA from 1 species